GAUGAAGAACGUAGUGAAAUGCGAUACGUAAUGUGAAUUGCAGAAUUCAGUGAAUCAUCGAAUCUUCGAACGCACAUUGCGCCCGCCAGCACUCUGGCGGGCAUGCCUGUUCGAGCGUCAUUUCAACCAUCAAGCCCCAGGCUUGCGUUGGAGCCCUGCGGCUGCCGCAGCCUCCUAAAAGCAGUGGCGGGCUCGCUAUCACACCGAGUGCAGUAGAUUACUCUUCGCUCAGGGCGUGCAGCGGGUUCCGGCCGUGAAACCCCCUACUUUUAAAGGUUGACCUCGGAUCAGGUAGGAAUACCCGCUGAACUUAAGCAUAUCAAUAAGCGGAGGA
rnacentral:misc_RNA from 1 species